rnacentral:rRNA from 1 species
GUGCCAGCCGCCGCGGUAAAACGUAGGAGGCGAGCGUUAUCCGGAUUUACUGGGCGUAAAGCGCACGCAGGCGGCUUCGUUAGUCGGAUGUGAAAGCUCCUGGCUUAACCGGGAGAGGCCAUUCGAUACUGCGGGGCUUGAGGUUGGGAGAGGGGUGCGGAAUUCCCGGUGUAGUGGUGGAAUGCGUAGAUAUCGGGAGGAACACCAGUGGCGAAAGCGGCACCCUGGCCCACACCUGACGCUGAGGUGCGAAAGCGUGGGUAGCAAACAGGAUUAGAUACCCUGGUAGUCCACGCCGUAAACUAUGUCAACUAGGUGUUGGUAGUGUUACACUAUCAGUGCCGAAGCAAACGCGUUAAGUUGACCGCCUGGGGACUACGAGCGCAAGCUUAAA